GACGGAGGAUGCAAGUGUUAUCCGGAAUCACUGGGCGUAAAAGCGUCUGUAGGUGGUUUAAUAAGUCAACUGUUAAAUCUUGAGGCUCAACCUCAAAAUCGCAGUCGAAACUAUUAGGCUAGAGUAUAGUAGGGGUAAAGGGAAUUUCCAGUGGAGCGGUGAAAGUGCGUAGAGAUUGGAAAGAACACCGAUGGCGAAGGCACUUUACUGGGCUAUUACUAACACUCAGAGACGAAAGCUAG
rnacentral:rRNA from 1 species